UGCAAGUCGUACGAGGGUUUUUAACUUUAGUGGCGGACGGGUGAGUAACACGUGAGAAUUUGCCUUUAGGAGGGGGAUAACAAUCGGAAACGAAUGCUAAUACCCCAUAUGCUUUUGAGUGAAAUGGAUUUAUCCGCCUAAAGAGAAGCUCGCGGCUGAUUAGCUUGUUGGUAAGGUAAGAGCUUACCAAGGCGACGAUCAGUAUCUGGUUUGAGAGGACGAUCAGACACACUGGAACUGAGACACGGUCCAGACUCCUACGGGAGGCAGCAGUGGGGGAUUUUCCGCAAUGGGCGAAAGCCUGACGGAGCAAUACCGCGUGAGGGAAGACUGCCUAUGGGUUGUAAACCUCUUUUUUCAGGGAGGAAUAAAUUGACGUGUACCUGAAGAAUAAGCAUCGGCUAACUCCGUGCCAGCAGCCGCGGUAAGACGGAGGAUGCAAGUGUUAUCCGGAAUCACUGGGCGUAAAGCGUCUGUAGGUGGUUUAAUAAGUCAACUGUUAAAUCUUGAGGCUCAACUUCAAAAUCGCAGUCGAAACUAUUAGACUAGAGUAUAGUAGAGGUAAAGGGAAUUUCCAGUGGAGCGGUGAAAUGCGUAGAUAUUGGAAAGAACACCAAUGGCGAAAGCACUUUACUGGGCUAUUACUAACACUCAGAGACGAAAGCUAGGGUAGCAAAUGGGAUUAGAUACCCCAGUAGUC
rnacentral:rRNA from 1 species